rnacentral:rRNA from 1 species
UACGAAGGGGGCUAGCGUUGCUCGGAAUCACUGGGCGUAAAGGGUGCGUAGGCGGGUCUUUAAGUCAGGGGUGAAAUCCUGGAGCUCAACUCCAGAACUGCCUUUGAUACUGAGGAUCUUGAGUACGGGAGAGGUGAGUGGAACUGCGAGUGUAGAGGUGAAAUUCGUAGAUAUUCGCAAGAACACCAGUGGCGAAGGCGGCUCACUGGCCCGUAACUGACGCUGAGGCACGAAGGUCAGGGGAGCAAACGGG